GAAAAACACGCCCAGUUGAGACAGGUAGGAGAGGGAGAGGAGGUGGAAACGUAGGAGGAAGUGACCGAAUAGACACGUUAUCGACACGAGUAACGAGUCGCAAAGGAAGGACAAUCUUGAGUGCCGGUGCUGGGAAAGAAACAACAACUCCUAGAACUGCAGUCAGAUGCCCCCCAGCUAUGGCCUUUCCUGGAAGAAACAAGUAACCUUGGAGUAACCGUGACUGAAAUCACAGGUGCGGCGUAGCAGGAAGCAG